rnacentral:rRNA from 1 species
GUAGAAUUCCAGGUGUAGCGGUGAAAUGCGUAGAGAUCUGGAGGAAUACCGGUGGCGAAGGCGGCCCCCUGGACGAAGACUGACGCUCAGGUGCGAAAGCGUGGGGAGCAAACAGGAUUAGAUACCCUGGUAGUCCACGCCGUAAACGAUGUCGACUUGGAGGUUGUGCCCUUGAGGCGUGGCUUCCGGAGCUAACGCGUUAAGUCGACCGCCUGGGGAGUACGGCCGCAAGGUUAAAACUCAAAUGAAUUGACGGGGGCCCGCACAAGCGGUGGAGCAUGUGGUUUAAUUCGAUGCAACGCGAAGAACCUUACCUGGUCUUGACAUCCACAGAACUUUCCAGAGAUGGAUUGGUGCCUUCGGGAAC